UACGGAAGGGGGCUAGCGUUGCUCGGAAUGACUGGGCGUAAAGGGCGCGUAGGCGGAUGGCACAGUCCAGAUGUGAAAUUCCCGGGCUUAACCUGGGGGCUGCAUUUGAUACGUGUUGUCUAGAGUGAGGAAGAGGGUUGUGGAAUUCCCAGUGUAGAGGUGAAAUUCGUAGAUAUUGGGAAGAACACCGGUGGCGAAGGCGGCAACCUGGUCCUUGACUGACGCUGAGACGCGAAAGCGUGGGGAGCGAACAGG
rnacentral:rRNA from 1 species